ACGAACGCUGGCGGCAUGCCUAACACCUGCAAGUCGCACGAAGGCUUCGGCCUUAGUGGCGCACGGGUGCGUAACGCGUGGGAAUCUGCCCUUUGGUUCGGAAUAACAGCUGGAAACGGCUGCUAAUACCGGAUGAUGACGAAAGUCCAAAGAUUUAUCGCCAGAGGAUGAGCCCGCGUUGGAUUAGGUAGUUGGUGGGGUAAAGGCCUACCAAGCCGACGAUCCAUAGCUGGUCUGAGAGGAUGAUCAGCCACACUGGGACUGAGACACGGCCCAGACUCCUACGGGAGGCAGCAGUGGGGAAUAUUGGACAAUGGGCGCAAGCCUGAUCCAGCAAUGCCGCGUGAGUGAUGAAGGCCCUAGGGUUGUAAAGCUCUUUUACCCGGGAAGAUAAUGACUGUACCGGGAGAAUAAGCCCCGGCUAACUCCGUG
rnacentral:rRNA from 1 species